rnacentral:rRNA from 1 species
UACGGGGGGGGCAAGCGUUAUCCGGAAUUACUGGGCGUAAAGCGCGUGUAGGUGGUUAGAUAAGUCACUGUUGAAAGCUCCUGGCUAAACUGGGAGAGGUGCGGUGAGACUGUCUGGCUAGAGUAUGGGAGAGGGAUGCAGAAUUCCGGGUGUAGUGGUGAAAUGCGUAGAGAUCCGGAGGAAUACCAGAGGCGAAGGCGGCAUCCUGGCCUAAAACUGACACUGAGACGCGAAAGCAUGGGGAGCGAACGGG